rfam:Felis catus isolate Cinnamon breed Abyssinian chromosome B2, whole genome shotgun sequence.
GCCUGGAUGGCUCAGUCGGUUGGGCAUCCAACUUCAGCUUGGGUCAUGAUCUUGCGGUUCGUGGGUUCGAGCCCCGCGUCGGGCU